UACUUUUUAAUUAACUUCUCUUAAGCAUUUUUUGAACCCAUAAUAACUUAUAACAACUUUUGUGGACUUUCUGUGAACUCUUCAAGUAAACUUUUAGCCAAAUUGAACUCGAUUUGAAAGCUUAUCGGGAUUGUCGGGCGCGGUUAACAACUCCUAAUGAUGGCAGGAUCAGUGCAAGGAAACUGGAUAUGCAGGGCACUUACCUGUCUUGUACUAGCCCUCUGCCUCCUGUCAACGAUGAUUCAGCCGGUUUUAAGCCUGUAUCAAUAUUCGGCGGCGGAUCUUCUUUGACUUCGUCCAAGGAUGACUGGAUCUCCUGUGGACGUCCUGUUAACUUUCCCGGACAUCUUUUUUCGGCCACGACGGAGAUAUAUCCAUAGAGGCUCCCGCCGGAAUUUUCAACAGGAUACACGAGCUCCAAUAACCUCUUACUGGUCCACUUCUCGUCCAUCGCUGAGGCCAUCUGGCAGAACUUCGGAUCCGAGUGUGUUAGCCAGCCUAGCUACAGUGGCUAGCGCUCCUGCUCAUCUCAGCGAGGAUACCAUUAACUUUGCUCAUCUCAACAUCCGUUCCCUUACAGGUAAGACCCAUCUCAUUCAGGAUCUUCUUACGGAUCGUAACAUCGACAUCCUUUCUCUAAAUGAGACAUGGCAGCAACCCCAGGACUUUACUUUGCUCAACGAAGCAACACCUCCCGGGUUUGUUUACAUGGCGCAGCCUCGCAACUCUGGUCGUGGAGGAGGUCUUGCGAUAUUUUACCGCGAGACAAUGCGAGUUACGCCGCUGACAGUCUCUUCCUAUGGUUCAUUUGAGUCUCUUGUCUGUCAACUACCUGGCUCUAUUCCCACCAUUGUUGCAACUAUUUACCGUCCUCCUAAAUUCAACAAACAGUUUCUGAAUGACUUUUCUGCUUUUUUAGCUUAUUUGUCCUCGUUAUCUUCGACCAUAAUAAUAAUGGGUGAUUUUAACAUUCAUUUGGAUAACAGUAAGUCCUCGGCGACCAGAGAUUUUAUUUCUUGCCUUGAUAACUUUGACUUUCAGCAGUUUAUUGAAACCCCGACACAUGUCAAAGGACAUAUCUUGGAUUUGAUUUGCUGUACUGGACUUACUCCGAAUGACUGUACUGCGGAAGAAUUUCCCUCUUCAGAUCAUUUUCUCCUUACAUUUAACAUGACUCUUACUGUCUACACCAUUAAACCUCUUCGUGUAAUAACUUUUAGGAAUCUUAAAAAUAUCAACAUGAGCAAUUUUCAAUUAGGUAUUGAUAUACUUGUGGAAUCAUUACAAACUAUUUCUCCGCCAGAUUUAGUUAACUUUUAUAACGAAGGACUUCUUGACAUUUUGAAUUCGGUAGCCCCACUCAAAACCCGAUCAGUUUCAUUUACACACACUGCCCCUUGGUUUACACCAACUUUGCGCAUUUUAAAAUCUAAAGGUCGGCAGUUGGAACGGCUGUACAAGAAGACAGGUCUUAAUGUUCAUAAAGAAAUGUAUUUUAGCCAUAUGCAUCACUAUAGGGGCAGCAUACGACAUGCUAAAGCUGCCUAUUUUACUGCCCUAAUUUCUUCCAACAAGGGGAACUCUGGAACACUUUUUUCCUUGCUUAGAUCGCUAACAAGUCCCCCAGACUCUCUUUCCUUGCACUGCCUUUCUAAUGAAUUUUGUAACACCUUAAUGACAUUUUUUAAUGAUAAAAUCCAGGCAAUACAUUAUAAUUUAGGCUCUGUUGCUAUUGACUCCGCCAUUGAUGAUUUUCCUCCUCCUACUCAUUCAUUUUCCAUGUUUGAGCUUCCUUCCACCUCAGAGAUCAUGGAUCUCAUCAAUAGCUCUAAGCCUUCAACCUGUCACUUGGAUCCAAUUCCCACUGUUCUGAUUAAAACCUGCCUUCCCUCGCUAGCUCCUCUUGUUGUUUCAAUUAUUCACUCGUCACUUUCCACCAGAAUUGUUCACCAGUCUAUAAAAACUGCAGUGAUUCACCCCCUACUGAAAAAACCUGGGGUUGACCCUACUGACUUUAAUAAUUUCCGACCAAUUUCUAAUCCUCCUUUUAUUUCAAAGGUUCUUGAAAAAACUGUGGCUUCCCAACUUCAUCAGUAUUUAUCUGCUAACAGUUUAUACGAACCAUUCCAGUCAGGCUUCCGACGUUUUCACAGCACUGAGACGGCACUAGUUAAGAUCACUAAUGAUCUUUUAGUGGCUGCAGACUCAGGCCUAAUCACAAUCCUUGUUCUUCUUGACCUCAGUGCUGCAUUUGACACUGUCUGUCAUUUCACCCUGCUAAAAAGGCUAUCUGCACGAGGUGUUUCUCACAUUCCGUUAACUUGGUUUAAGUCAUAUCUUACAGACAGAACUCAAUUCAUUCAGCUGGAUACAUGUACCUCCACUCCCACUCCUGUAGUAUCUGGGGUUCCUCAGGGUUCUGUCCUUGGCCCCUUGCUGUUUAUCAUUUAUCUGCUUCCUUUGGGUGUCAUUUUUCAUAAAUGGAAGAUAAACUUUCAUUGUUACGCAGAUGACACCCAGUUAUAUAUUUCCACUUCACCAUCUGCAUCGCUUCCACCAUCCUCACUUACUGAUUGCCUUGCUGAGAUCAAGUCUUGGUUAUCUUCCAACUUCUUGCAGUUGAACUCUAAUAAAACUGAGGUGCUUCUUAUGGGCACGAAAUCUGCAAUAGCGAAGGCAUCAAAGAUCUCAGUAGUAAUAGACAAUACUUCUGUUACCUGUACAGAUCAGAUAAAAAGCCUUGGUGUAAUUCUGGACAGCACGUUAUCUUUCCAGUCUCACAUCAGUUCUGUUACUCGAGCAGCUUACUUUCACCUGCGAAACAUUAAUCGCUUGCGUCCAUUUUUGUCAAAUCACUCUACUGCCAUUUUAGUCAACAGUUUGGUCACCUCCCGCCUGGACUAUUGCAAUUCACUUCUCUUUGGUCUGCCUCAAAAGUUAUUACAUAAACUUCAACUUGUUCAAAAUUCGGCUGCUCGUAUAAUUACUAAAACACCCUAUUCUGAUCACAUUACACCCGUUAUUCAGCAGCUUCAUUGGCUGCCAAUAAAGUUUAGGGUCAACUACAAAAUUUUAGUCCUUACAUAUAAGGCCAUUCAUAAUCUUGCCCCCACAUAUCUCUCACAGCUCCUACAAGUCACUAAACCCUCUCGUAUGCUCAGAUCCUCUUUUUCCAUUAACUUAAAUAAUCCACCAGCACGUCUUGUUACGAUGGGAUAUCGCGCAUUUAGCAGAUCGGCACCUUCCUUAUGGAACUCAUUACCUGCUUAUCUUAGGAAUAUGACUACCCUUCACCAAUUUCAGGCUAAUCUUAAAACUUAUCUGUUCAAAAUUGCUUAUUCAUUGUAACUGUUAUUGCUGUUUUAUCUGAUGUUUUAUUUGGAUUUUAAAUUGUCUAGUUAUUGAAUGUUUAUUUUUUAACCUGAUUGUACAGUGACCUUGAGUUUUUUGAAAGGCGCUUCAAAUAAAAUGUAUUAUUAUUAUUAUUAUCUGGAACACCUGGAAAAACAUCAGUGGGCUUUGAGGGGUCUGGACGUCCACAUCCUUCCUCGUAGGCCUCGUCUGCCGUUCAUUGGUGUGAUGAGGGGCAGACAGAAAAUGCGAGUUGCCGAGUCGCGAAUGUCACGUUGGACGCCCGACGAAAUCGGAACUGCAAAAUCGGACAAUGUGGGUGAAACGGAGCUCCCCGAAUUGUCAGUGGUGACGUAACGCUGACCCUUCACCUUAGUCAGCUAUUUAAAAUGAAACACACAAUCUGGUCAGUCUGAAUUGGCGUUUUGUGUUCAAUAUGCGUAUUUAAUGCGUUUAUUAUGUUCCUUACUUCAACAAAAAUUCCUUUUCUCUUUGAUUGCUUUUCUUGGGCAGACCGAGUAACAAAUCGGCAGCGACUUCACAUUUUUCUGAAUAUCCCGACCAGCAACCCACGUGAGCGCACUGAAGUGGGAAGGUGAAACGUCACAACUCGGAGCUCCGAAUAACCCGAAGUCACAGCAGCUGUUAGCAGCGUAAAGGCACAGCAGACCCCCUGACCUGCUCAUCGGGGCCUCUGGGCUCAGCGAGCGUCACUGUGCAGAAAAUCCAAAGGUGUAAAGCCGGGCCCGUGUGUGCCAGUUACUCAGUUGUGUUCGCACAGGGCACACCCACCCACAUUAAUAAAAGUGUAACUGGUGUUCUAAAGACGGUCGGCCUUUAUGAAGCUGCAGACAUGGCGUCUUAACCCUGUGCUUAACACAACAGGUGACAGCCACGGGGCCGAUGGCCGCGUCACUCGUGUCCUCCUCUGACAUUUCUUUGUCUUUUUUCUGAUGUUGGCAGGCAGUACAGCGUGGGCUUUGAACUCCUCACUGUCUCCACGGUGACCGAUCCCGGACCCUCCGGCUUUCAGAAGACGAACAGCGGAGAUUACAGGUGCGGAUUUUGCUACUUGGAGUUGGAGGCGAUUCCUGCCGGCGUUUACAACAUCA